rnacentral:rRNA from 1 species
AGAGUUUGAUCAUGGCUCAGAACGAACGCUGGCGGCAGGCCUAACACAUGCAAGUCGAGCGCGCCUUCGGGUGAGCGGCGGACGGGUUAGUAACGCGUGGGAACGUGCCCUUCUCUACGGAAUAGCCUCUGGAAACGGAGAGUAAUACCGUAUACGCCCUUUGGGGGAAAGAUUUAUCGGAGAAGGAUCGGCCCGCGUUAGAUUAGGUAGUUGGUGGGGUAACGGCCUGCCAAGCCUACGAUCUAUAGCUGGUUUUAGAGGAUGAUCAGCAACACUGGGACUGAGACACGGCCCAGACUCCUACGGGAGGCAGCAGUGGGGAAUCUUAGACAAUGGGGGCAACCCUGAUCUAGCCAUGCCGCGUGAGUGAUGAAGGCCUUAGGGUCGUAAAGCUCUUUCGCCUGUGAUGAUAAUGACAGUAGCAGGUAAAGAAACCCCGGCUAACUCCGUGCCAGCAGCCGCGGUAAUACGGAGGGGGUUAGCGUUGUUCGGAAUUACUGGGCGUAAAGCGCGCGUAGGCGGAUUAGAAAGUUGGGGGUGAAAUCCCGGGGCUCAACCUCGGAACUGCCUCCAAAACUGCUAGUCUAGAGUUCGAGAGAGGUGAGUGGAAUUCCGAGUGUAGAGGUGAAAUUCGUAGAUAUUCGGAGGAACACCAGUGGCGAAGGCGGCUCACUGGCUCGAUACUGACGCUGAGGUGCGAAAGUGUGGGGAGCAAACAGGAUUAGAUACCCUGGUAGUCCACACCGUAAACGAUGAAUGCCAGUCGUCGGGUAGUAUACUAUUCGGUGACACACCUAACGGAUUAAGCAUUCCGCCUGGGGAGUACGGUCGCAGAUUAAACUCAAGG